UACGGAAGGCAGCAGUGGGGAAUAUUGCACAAUGGGCGAAAGCCUGAUGCAGCUAUGCCGCGUGUAUGAAGAAGGCCUUAGGGUUGUAAAGUACUUUCAUCGGGGAGGAAAAAACAAAACUAAUAAUUUUAUUUCUUGACGUUACCCGAAAAAGAAGCACCGGCUAACUCCGUGCCAGCAGCCGCGGUAAUACGGAGGGUGCUAGCGUUAAUCAGAAUUACUGGGCGUAAAGAGCACGUAGGUGGUUUUUUUAAGUUCAGAUGUGAAAUCCCUGGGCUUAACCUGGAACUGCAUUUUGAAACUGAAAUACUAGAGUAUCGUAGAGGGAGGUAGAAUUCUAGGUGUAGCGGUGAAAUGCGUAGAUAUCUGGAGGAAUACCUGUGGCGAAAGCGGCCUCCUAAACGAAUACUGACACUGAGGUGCGAAAGCGUGGGGAGCAAACAGGGAUUAGGAUACC
rnacentral:rRNA from 1 species